GUGCUUGCUUCCGCAGCACACAUACUAAAAUUGGGAUGAUAGAGCUUAGCAAGGCCCCUUCGAAAGGAUGACACGCAAAUUCAUGAAGGCUUAUGAACCAGAUAAAAUUAUA